rnacentral:rRNA from 1 species
UACGUAGGGUGCAAGCGUUAUCCGGAAUUAUUGGGCGUAAAGAGCUCGUAGGCGGUUUGUCGCGUCUGCUGUGAAAACUGGGGGCUCAACCCCUCAGCCUGCAGUGGGUACGGGCAGACUAGAGUGCGGUAGGGGAGAUUGGAAUUCCUGGUGUAGCGGUGGAAUGCGCAGAUAUCAGGAGGAACACCGAUGGCGAAGGC